rnacentral:rRNA from 1 species
CGGAGGAUCCGAGCGUUAUCCGGAUUUAUUGGGUUUAAAGGGUGCGCAGGCGGGGGAUUAAGUCGGCGGUGAAAUUUUGCAGCUCAACUGUAAAAGUGCCUUCGAAACUGGUUUCCUUGAGUGUAGAUGAAGUAGGCGGAAUUUGUGGUGUAGCGGUGAAAUGCUUAGAUAUCACGAGGAACUCCGAUUGCGCAGGCAGCUUACUAAACUACUACUGACGCUCAGGCACGAAGGCGUGGGGAUCAAACAGGAUUAGAUACCCUGGUAGUCCCU